rnacentral:rRNA from 1 species
UACGUAGGGGGCUAGCGUUGUCCGGAAUCAUUGGGCGUAAAGAGCGUGUAGGCGGUCCGGUAAGUCCGCUGUGAAAGUCGGGGGCUCAACCCUCGAAUGCCGGUGGAUACUGUCGGGCUAGAGUGCGGAAGAGGCGAGUGGAAUUCCUGGUGUAGCGGUGAAAUGCGCAGAUAUCAGGAGGAACACCUAUUGCGAAGGCAGCUCGCCUGGGACGUAACUGACGCUGAGACGCGAAAGCGUGGGGAGCAAACAGG